AUUGAACGCUGGCGGUAGGCCUAACACAUGCAAGUCGAACGGUAACAGGAAGAAGCUUGCUUCUUUGCUGACGAGUGGCGGACGGGUGAGUAAUGUCUGGGAAACUGCCUGAUGGAGGGGGAUAACUACUGGAAACGGUAGCUAAUACCGCAUAACGUCGCAAGACCAAAAAGGGGGACCUUCGGGCCUCUUGCCAUCGGAUGUGCCCAGAUGGGAUUAGCUAGUAGGUGGGGUAACGGCUCACCUAGGCGACGAUCCCUAGCUGGUCUGAGAGGAUGACCAGCCACACUGGAACUGAGACACGGUCCAGACUCCUACGGGAGGCAGCAGUGGGGAAUAUUGCACAAUGGGCGCAAGCCUGAUGCAGCCAUGCCGCGUGUAUGAAGAAGGCCUUCGGGUUGUAAAGUACUUUCAGCGGGGAGGAAGGGAGUAAAGUUAAUACCUUUGCUCAUUGACGUUACCCGCAGAAGAAGCACCGGCUAACUCCGUG
rnacentral:rRNA from 1 species